CGAUAAAAUCGCCACAGUUAGCAAUUCUCCUCUCUGUUGUCAGCUAGCAUAACUCAUGUGUCUAGUAAGGAGAUAUCUCUUUAAGAGACUCCUUGGGGAGAGGAGGUAGGAGUGAGUUGUGUCUGGGUCAUUGUUGCUAGGCAGAUUUAGAACACCCAGAAGUUUCUGGAACUAGGUGUGGCAGAUUUGGGUAUCCUCCAAUAGGUUCUCUGGUGCUGGGAUCUGAUUCCACAUGAGGGCAAGCAGUCAGGGCAGUUGCUUUACAAAAGGCCAUGUGUCCUGUGUGAGUUGGGAGAAGCUGAGCCCUGGAGUGCAAAACAGGCUGUUUCCUCAAACUCUGAAGCAUUCUGCAGCAGCAUGCCUGUAAUCUCAGAAAUGCUAUAUUCUGCCAACAAACCCUGAUACACACCGACACCCAGCAUGGAUGCAAUAUUACGCUAGUCUUCUCUACAAUGGAGAGAAAUCAGUGUGAAUUCAGCAACUGCUAGACUCUUCUUUCAGGUGAAUGUGCUAAAUAUCCAUUCUAAGAACAAAGGAAACUGACUGAGUGACUGACUACAUAAGGGAAACAAAAAAAAAAGAACAGGAGUACUUGUGGCACCUGAGAGACUAACACAUUUAUUUCAGCAUAAACUUUCAUGGGCUACAGCUCACUUCUUCGGAUGCAUAUAAUGGAACAC